GACGAACGCUGGCGGCGUGCUUAACACAUGCAAGUCGAACGGAAAGGCCCUGCUUGCCGGGUGCUCGAGUGGCGAACGGGUGAGUAACACGUGGGUGAUCUGCCCCUUACUUUGGGAUAAGCCUGGGAAACUGGGUCUAAUACUGGAUAGGACCAUGCUGUAGGUGGUGUGGUGGAAAGAUUAGUUUCGGUAAGGGAUGAGCUCGCGGCCUAUCAGCUUGUUGGUGGGGUAAUGGCCUACCAAGGCGUCGACGGGUAGCCGGCCUGAGAGGGUGGACGGCCACAUUGGGACUGAGAGACGGCCCAGACUCCUACGGGAGGCAGCAGUGGGGAAUAUGGCACAAUGGGCGCAAGCCUGAUGCAGCGACGCCGCGUGGGGGAUGACGGCCUUCGGGUUGUAAACUCCUUUCAGCCAUGACGAAGCCCUUGUGGUGACGGUAGUGGUAGAAGAAGCACCGGCUAACUACGUG
rnacentral:rRNA from 1 species